AACGAACGCUGGCUGCAUGCCUAACACAUGCAAGUCGAACGAUGGUCUUCGGAUCAUAGUGGCGCACGGGUGCGUAACGCGUGGGAAUCUGCCCUUGGGUUCGGAAUAACAGUUGGAAACGACUGCUAAUACCGGAUGAUGUCGAUAAGACCAAAGAUUUAUCGCCCGAGGAUGAGCCCGCGUCGGAUUAGCUAGUUGGUGGGGUAAAGGCCUACCAAGGCGACGAUCCGUAGCUGGUCUGAGAGGAUGAUCAGCCACACUGGGACUGAGACACGGCCCAGACUCCUACGGGAGGCAGCAGUGGGGAAUAUUGGACAAUGGGCGCAAGCCUGAUCCAGCAAUGCCGCGUGAGUGAUGAAGGCCUUAGGGUUGUAAAGCUCUUUUACCCGGGAAGAUAAUGACUGUACCGGGAGAAUAAGCCCCGGCUAACUCCGUG
rnacentral:rRNA from 1 species